CCCAGUGACUCUUUUAAACGGCCGCGGUAUCCUAACCGUGCAAAGGUAGCAUAAUCACUUGUCUCUUAAAUAGAGACUAGAAUGAAUGGCUAAAUGAGGACUAAUCUGUCUCUUACGGACCAGCCAAUGAAAUUAAUCUUUCAGUACAAAAGCUGAAAUAAAAACAUAAGACGAGAAGACCCUGUGGAGCUUCAAACCAAACCCACCCUGCAUGCUCCUUUGAUUUUUAGUUGGGGCGACUUCGGAGCACAAUAAAACCUCCAAAAUCUUAAUAUCUUCAAGAUUAACAAACCAAAAAUUUUAUUAGACCCAGCAAUGUUUAACAUUGUCUGACCACUGAACCAAGUUACCCCAGGGAUAACAGCGCCAUCCCCUCCUAGAGUCCAUAUCGACAAGGGGGUUUACGACCUCGAUGUUGGAUCAGGACACCCCAAUGGUGCAGCCGCCAUUAAAGGUUCGUUUGUUCAACGAUUAAUUAGUCC
rnacentral:rRNA from 1 species